rnacentral:rRNA from 1 species
UGGAUAAUCUGCCCUUCGAUGGGGGACAACAACCCGAAAGGGUUGCUAAUACCGCAUACGUCGGCGAGCUCUGCGGAGCACGUCGGGAAAGCUGCCCUCUACUUGUAAGGUAGCGUCGAAGGAGGAGUCCGCGUCCCAUCAGCUAGGUUGGUAGGUAAUGGCCUACGAAGGCAAAGGACGGGUAGCUCGUCUGAGAGGAUGAUCAGCCACACGUGGGACUGACACGACCGGCACGUACG